GUAAGUACUUAAAACCCAAAGAAUUUGGCGGUGUUUUAGUSUUUUCAGAGGAAUMUGUCCUGUAAUUGAUAAUACACGAUUUGYUUUACUUGAUUUUGUUAUCAGUUUAUAUACCGUCGUCAUAAGAUUAUUUUUGUUUAAGAAUAUUUUCUUGUUUUUUAAUUAUAAAAUAUGUCAGAUCAAGGUGUAGCUUAUAAUUAAGUGGAGAUGGAUUACAAUAAUAAUAAUUAUAUGAAUAAUUAUUUUAGGUUAAAGAUCGG
rnacentral:rRNA from 1 species